AUGCACAACAUACAACUCAGUGUUAUGACACAUUUGAAUUUAAUAUCAAUUCUUUAUCUCUGUGGAAAAGAUUUACCAUAAUUUUUUAACAGCUGCAGUGGCGGUGGUUAAUCAUCAACAGCUCUGUUUUUCAUGCAGGCGUGGGCAUAAAUGCAGGACCUUUGCCAUUAGUAAACCUUCUGUUCCAGUUUUCCUCAAACACCCAUUUCUCUUUCUUCUUUCUUUCUUUCUAUUAUGUAUAUUUACUGAUCUGUGAAAUUUUUGUGGGGUUUCUUUCGAUAUCUUGAGGGGGCUGUUUUAAUCUGAAGAAAAAGAUUUGGGUUUUUUUUGUUUGAUUCGUCUUCAAGUGGGCAGUGAAGAGCAUAGUACCAAAAGUUGCUCAGAUUCUCUGAAUUGGGUAUCUUUUUUCGCUUCCUACUUUUGGUUGUGUUUUCCUCCGAUUAGGGUUUGGUCAGAAUGAAUCAUGAAAUGAAUGGAGAGGUUAUUUAUGAUACUGAAUCGAUGUUCUUUUGCGUCUGUGCGUAAAUUAACUACUCCCUGAACACUUUUCUGAGCUCUUUAAUGAGUUUUCUUGUCAUUGGAGGAGGCAUCUGUUUGUGUAAAUUUGGGGAUUUGAUUUAAUUUUACACAUUUCAACUCCAAUGAUCCUUUCGGGAAGUGUCUUGUCUAUGUUUUAACUAUUAAUUUUCUAACCUUUUGUUUUCUUCACUCUCAUAAAUUUCAUCUUUAUUACUUCCGAUUCCUUCGGGUUUUCUCAUGGUACAGUUUCUUUUCUAUCUGCAUUUAAGAAGUUGCUUUGAUUUGGAGCUUUAAUUCAUCUGGGUUUGUUGUCUAUACGCUUCGAGAUUAGGGUUUUUUCUUUCUUUCUUUUCUAUCUGGGUGGUCAAACAUUUUGUGAUUUUGACUUAUUUAUUGCGAUAUAAUGGCUGGGGAGGAUGAGAUUGAAGAGAGAAACAGAGAUGAUGAUGAACAAAUGCAUUACAAUUCCACCAAUUUAUCCUCAGAUUGGCCGUUUAACAGUUCCAGUGAUCUUACAAACACAUCGAUGGCCAUGGUUACCUCAAGCAACCCCAUGAACAACAACACUCCGUGUUCUUCAGCUUCCAUGAUCGAUUCCUUUUGCCAUACGCCACCCACCAUUUGGGAUCACAAUCCCACAAAUCCUCAAAACUUAGGAGCUUUCUGCGAUAUGAAUUUACAGAACAAUCCGACCACUUCAUCAUCCUCACUUGGGUUCCGAAAAGGAAAUCUCCACACCCCUUCACGAAACCUCGACAUGUCUUGGCCCCCACCAAAUUCCGCCAUUAAAAGAGGCGGUAUGUUCAUACCACCACCACCAGCUGCUACUUCCACCAUGCUUCCUCACACUUUAUCCCAAUUUCCAGCCGAUUCAGGUUUCAUUGAAAGAGCAGCCAGAUUGUCCUCGUUCAGUGCAGGUAACUUCGAAGACAUGAUAAACCCUUUUGGCAAUGGACCUGAAUCAUCUUUAAGUCCUUAUUCUAGACCAGUUCAAGAGGGUUUUGUAAACGGGUUCAAAUCGACAUCUGGCGAAGGGUCUAAAGACAUUCCACUUCCUGUAGACUGCGAUGGAAGUCAACCCAAGAACGAUGCCAGACAGGGCGGUUCUGGUUUUUCCGGCAACAAUCUUCCCGGUGAAGCUGAAUUCAGUGAAGGUGGACAAGAUGAUACUUCAAACGAGGGACUUGGCUCAAAGAAACGAAGAAGAAGUGAUCAGGAUACUGAUUACAACCAAGUCAAAAGAUCCCCACAAACACCUAACGAAUCUACAAAAAACAACACUGAAAUCCAACAAAUGGGUGACAAGAAUCCAAAUUCAAUUGCGAAUAAAUCAAGUGGUAAACAUGGAAAACAAGUAUCUCAAUCAUCCGAUGGACAAAAAGAAGAAUACAUUCAUGUAAGGGCAAGAAGAGGCCAAGCUACCAAUAGCCAUAGUCUUGCAGAAAGAGUAAGAAGGGAGAAAAUUAGCGAAAGAAUGAAGUUUCUUCAAGAUCUUGUCCCUGGAUGUAGCAAGGUCACAGGAAAAGCUGUUAUGUUAGAUGAAAUUAUUAACUAUGUACAGUCACUACAAAGACAAGUCGAGUUUUUGUCGAUGAAGCUUGCUACAGUUAAUCCCCGAAUGGAUUUUAACCUUGAAGGACUUAUAGCAAAAGAUAUGCUUGAAUCGCGAGGGGUGCCUUCUGCUACACUUGGUUUUGGUGCUGACAUGGCAAUGGCUUAUAAUCCAUCACAAAUGGCAAUCAUGCAAGGUGGAAUUUCUGGUUUAGGAAGCUCAUCAGAUGCAGUGAGAAGAACAAUUAAUUCCCAUUUAAUGGCUAUUGGUGGAGUAUAUAAAGAUCCUACUUCUCAGACAGGUACCUAGCUCGUGGGAUGAUGAGCUGAAUAACAUAGUCCAAAUGGGAUUAAAUCCUAGUAGUACUCAAAAUUUAGGAUCAACACCUCCAAGUCAUCUGAAAGCUGAACCCUAAAAGAGAUAUAUUAGGUUUCAAGAAAAGGGUUGUCAUGUAAUUAAUCAGUGGAUAUUCUUUUUGGUUAAUCUCUAUAUAGAAAACAGCAAAAGAAGGUUGAUACAUAUAAUCAUAUAAUAGCAAGAUGGGAGUCGAGUUGCUCAUUAGUUGAAAAAAAAGAGUUUUUUUUUUUUUUGCUUAAAUUGUAAAGCAACUGAAAUGCAGAAGUAUCAGCAUUGUGUGUGUGGAACGUUUUAUUUUGUCAAAAAUCUUUGUUUAGUUUUA